rnacentral:lncRNA from 12 species
UGGAGUCAUUCUGGAAGCCGUAAUGCCUCUUCAACUUGGUUAGGCUCACAGUGCCAGGAGAAGACAGAUGAUCUAUGCCUGUGCCUGGUAUCAUUGCAAGCUAAUGUGCUACUUCUGUAGUCUUGGGUUGCCAUCCCCUGGAGUGUUUUGAUGUGAUCAGUUGUCAGUUUCAGGUCUGUUGUUUCUCUCACCAGAAGCCCAGCCGGUGGAAGAUGACAGCCCCAAAGCCUUGCCUGUGUUAGGGGAGCUAUCGAACUCAGAUAAUGACAUAAACGAGUCGGUGUUCAUCUGGGGAAUCUCAGACAAAGCAGCCCAGAGGAAAACCAUCUCUGUCGAUGAAGGUUCGUUUCACUUGCAACAGAAAAAGCAGCAGCAGCAGCAGCAGCAGCAGCAGCCGCCGCCGCCGCCACGACUGGAGCCCGUGCACAGGCUGGGGAGAGGUAGAGGGAGGCUGAAGCUGCCACAUAGAGAGAGACUGGAGGAUUUAAUGCUUUGAACCGGAAGCACCCAGGAUGAGCUUCGAGGACACACUGCGAAAUGCCCUAGAGCAAUUGAAAGCCUGAAGCUAAAUAGAGGCUGGAUGUCAACUAGGAAGGACGCAUUCAAGGCUGAGGUUGACACAGCCAUGGCGGUUCCAG